GACGAACGCUGGCGGCGUGCUUAACACAUGCGAGUCGAGCGGUAAGGCCCUUUCGGGGGUACGACGAGCGGCGAACGGGUGAGUAACACGUGGGUGACCUGCCCUCAGCUCUGGGAUAAGCCUGGGAAACCGGGUCUAAUACUGGAUAUGACUCCAUGACGCAUGUUGUGGGGUGGAAAGCCUUGUGCGGCUGAGGAUGGGCCCGCGGCCUAUCAGCUUGUUGGUGGGGGGA
rnacentral:rRNA from 1 species